rnacentral:rRNA from 1 species
UACGUAGGGUGCAAGCGUUGUCCGGAAUUAUUGGGCGUAAAGAGCUCGUAGGCGGUUUGUCGCGUCUGCUGUGAAAUCUCAAGGCUCAACCUUGAGCUUGCAGUGGGUACGGGCAGACUAGAGUGCGGUAGGGGAGACUGGAAUUCCUGGGUGUAGCGGUGAAAUGCGCAGAUAUCAGGAGGAACACCGAUGGCGAAGGCAGAUCUCUGGGCCGUAACUGACGCUGGAGGAGCGAAAGCGUGGGGAGCGAACAGG